GUCCUUUUGAAUUUUAUUUAAGGUCUAGUCUGCCCACUGAAUUUAUAUUUUAAAUGGCCGCAGUAUUUUGACUGUGCAAAGGUAGCAUAAUCAUUAGUUUUUUAAUUAAAAGCUUGUAUGAAAGGCUGGACGAGGUAAAAUCUGUCUCUAUUUAAAUUAUAGUAGAAUUUAACUUUUAAGUUAAAAGGCUUAAAUAUUAUUAAAAGACGAGAAGACCCUAUAGAGCUUUAUAAUUUAUUAAUUAAAAUUAAUUUAGAAAUAUUUAUGUUUUAGUUAAUUAAAUUAUUUUAUUGGGGUAAUAGAAAGAUUGAAUUAAUUCUUUUUUAUAAUAAACAUUAAUUUAUGAAUAUUAAUGAUCCAAUUUUAUUGAUUAUAAGAUUAAGUUACCUUAGGGAUAACAGCGUAAUUUUUUUAAAGAGUUCAUAUCGAUAAAAAAGUUUGCGACCUCGAUGUYGGAUUAAAGAUUAUUUUAGGUGCAGAAGCUUAAUAAAUUUGGUCUGUUCGACCAUUGAAUCUUUAC
rnacentral:rRNA from 1 species